rnacentral:misc_RNA from 1 species
AAGUCGUAACAAGGUUUCCGUAGGUGAACCUGCGGAAGGAUCAUUAACACGUAUCCAAACGUUAAAACCCCCCCCGUGAACCUUCAUCCUGCUCUUGUAACCCGCGUAGUUCGCAAUCUCUGAUAAAUCAUAGCCCGGAAAGUUGUAGUGAUUCAGAGACCUCUGGCUACGUGCGAACAUUGGAACAGUUACAAUCGAGCGGUAGUUCUAUAGGCAAUGUUUCCCCAAGCAGUCAGUGUCGGAAAGUGAUUGUGCAAGGAUAGCGCUUCUACGAUUCCUAUAGACCGUACAGCUUUGCCAAAGGGUCCCCAUGCCCCCUAAUAACCCCACAGUUAAAAAAACCGAACAACUGUUAACAAUGGAUAUCUUGGUUCUC